rnacentral:lncRNA from 1 species
CAGGACUGGACUCAGCACUGGCACAGAGGCAGCACAGCUAUGUGGGAAGAACACAGGCUGGUCUGCAGGUGUCUAGAUUUGGAUCCUAGCUCUGUUACUUACUACUUUGUGACUUUGAGCAAAUUCACGUCUCUGAAAGAGAUGGAGUCUUACUCUGUUCCCAUGCUGGUCUCAAACUCCUGGGCUCAAGUGAUGCUCCAGCAUCAGCCUCCAGAGUAGCUGGGACUGCAGGUGAGCACCACCAUGCCUGGCUUCUCAUAAUUUUUAAAUAAACUUUUUAUAAC